GCGAUGAAGGACGUACUAACUUGCGAUAAGCUAAGUCAAGCCAGUAAGAGGCACUUGAGACUUAGAUUUCCGAAUGGGGAAACCCACCGCUUAGCGGUAUCUUGCAGUGAAUACAUAGCUGUAAGAGGCAAACCGGGAGAACUGAAACAUCUAAGUACCCCGAGGAAAAGAAAUCAACCGAGAUUCCGAAAGUAGCGGCGAGCGAAAUCGGAUUAGCCCUUAAGCUUCAGUGUAAUUAGUGGAACCUUCUGGAAAGUUGGACGACACAGGGUGACAGUCCCGUACACGAAAAUUUAUCUGAAGUGAAAUCGAGUAGGUCGGAGCACGUGAAACUUUGACUGAAUAUGGGGGGACCAUCCUCCAAGGCUAAAUACUCCCAACUGACCGAUAGUGAACCAGUACCGUGAGGGAAAGGCGAAAAGAACCCCUGUGAGGGGAGUGAAAUAGAACCUGAAACCGUGUACGUACAAGCAGUAGGAGCCCCUCGAGGGUGACUGCGUACCUUUUGUAUAAUGGGUCAGCGACUUAUAUUCUGUAGCAAGGUUAACCAUUUAGGGGAGCCGUAGCGAAAGCGAGUCUUAACUGGGCGCUUAAGUUGCAGGGUAUAGACCCGAAACCCGGUGAUCUAGCCAUGGGCAGGUUGAAGGUCAGGUAACACUGACUGGAGGACCGAACCCACUAACGUUGAAAAGUUAGGGGAUGACCUGUGGCUAGGAGUGAAAGGCUAAUCAAACCGGGAGAUAGCUGGUUCUCCCCGAAAUCUAUUUAGGUAGAGCCUCGGACGAAUACUUACGGGGGUAGAGCACUGUUAAGGCUAGGGGGUCAUCCCGACUUACCAACCCUUUGCAAACUCCGAAUACCGUAAAGUACUAUCCGGGAGACACACGGUGGGUGCUAACGUCCAUCGUGGAGAGGGAAACAACCCAGACCGUCAGCUAAGGUCCCAAAGUGUAUGUUAAGUGGGAAACGAUGUGGGAAGGCUAAAACAGCUAGGAGGUUGGCUUAGAAGCAGCCAUCCUUUAAAGAAAGCGUAAUAGCUCACUAGUCGAGUCGGCCUGCGCGGAAGAUGUAACGGGGCUAAACAUACCACCGAAGCUACGGCUGCGAACUUAGUUCGCGGGGUAGGGGAGCGUUCUGUAAGUGGCUGAAGGUGUGCCGGGAGGCAUGCUGGACAUAUCAGAAGUGCGAAUGCUGACAUGAGUAACGAUAAUGCGGGUGAAAAACCCGCACGCCGGAAGACCAAGGGUUCCUAUCCCAUGUUAAUCAGGGUAGGGUGAGUCGACCCCUAAGGCGAGGCUGAAGAGCGUAGUCGAUGGGAAACGGGUUAAUAUUCCCGUACUUGGUAUAAAUGCGAUGGGGGGACGGAGCAGGCUAGGCAAGCAUGGCGUUGGUUGUCCAUGUGAAAGGCUGUAGGCUGGUGACUUAGGAAAAUCCGGGUCGCUAAGGCUGAGAGUCGAGACGAGCCACUACGGUGGUGAAGUUGUUGAUGCCCUACUUCCAGGAAAAGCCUCUAAGCUUCAGUUUAUAUCGAAUCGUACCCUAAACCGACACAGGUGGUCAGGUAGAGAAUACUAAGGCGCUUGAGAGAACUCGGGUGAAGGAACUAGGCAAAAUUGUACCGUAACUUCGGGAGAAGGUACGCUCUUGUUUGUGAAGGACUUGCUCCAUAAGCAGACGAGAGCCGCAGUGACCAGGUGGCUGGGACUGUUUAUUAAAAACACAGCACUGUGCAAAAUCGUAAGAUGACGUAUACGGUGUGACACCUGCCCGGUGCCGGAAGGUUAAUUGAUGGGGUUAGCUUAGGCGAAGCUCUUGAUCGAAGCCCCGGUAAACGGCGGCCGUAACUAUAACGGUCCUAAGGUAGCGAAAUUCCUUGUCGGGUAAGUUCCGACCUGCACGAAUGGUGUAACCAUGGCCACGCUGUCUCCACCCGAGACUCAGUGAAAUUGAAAUCGCAGUGAAGAUGCUGUGUACCCGCGGCUAGACGGAAAGACCCCGUGAACCUUUACUACAGCUUGGCACUGAACAUU
rnacentral:rRNA from 1 species